UGUGAGGGGCGACUGCGGACGCACUCGAAUUUGCAGAAGUUACAGCAAUGGCGCCGUCAGUGGUGAGCAAUGGGAUUGCGGUCGGGCUUCACAGGGGUCACCAAGUGACGAAGCGGGAUAUCGCCCAGCGGCCCUCCGCUAGCAAGGGCAAGCUCGGCAAGCGUACCUCCAUGGUCCGUAACCUCAUUCGCGAAGUCGCUGGAUUUGCUCCAUAUGAGAAGCGUAUCACUGAGUUGCUCAAGGUCGGUAAGGACAAGCGUGCCCUCAAGGUUGCGAAGAGGAAGCUCGGUACCCACUUGCGCGCCAAGCGCA
rnacentral:lncRNA from 1 species